rnacentral:tRNA from 1 species
GCUGUGCAUGGCUCAGUGGCAGAGCGCUUGCCUGGCACGUGUGAGGCACUGGGUUCGAUCCUCAGCACUACA